rnacentral:sRNA from 1 species
UGCCUUGAUAAAUAUGGACUGCCUGGGC